ACCAGGCCUGCCCCGCCCCGCACUGGCAGCGCAGCUCGGCCUGUGUGCUGUCCCCAGUCUACCCACACUCUGCUUCUUUUCAAGAAGGGAUGACUGAGAUGGGACCUCAUCAAUGUCUAUGAGUAUCUGAAUGGAGGGUGGCAAGUGGACAGAGCCAGGCCCUGGUCACUGGUGCCAAGCAGCAGGUAGAAGACACUGGUGAAUGAGAAGUUCCAUUUGAACACAAGGAAGAAUUUUCUGUGGAGAGCAUCCAAGCAGAAGAAAAUAUCACUGUCAUAGGUGGUGCCAAAGUCCUUUCCGCAGGGACCUGGGGACAACUUGUCUGCAAGCAGCCAGUGAUCAUGACGCAGGGCUACCUGUACGAGUCACAUGGGAAUUAACCAUCCACUGCAUGUGGAAGAUGUGCUUAGAUCGACAUUCCACCUUAGUGCGGGGCCUGAGCUUUUUUCUUCCUGCUGUGUCCACUCCAGGUCCACAUCUUAAUCAGGCUGGCAGCCUGUAUUUUACUCCCCAGCUGGGCUCUGCCAGGGAUCGAUACUGGGCUCCACGCUGUUCAACAUCUCCAUAAACUGUCUGAUGAUGGGAUUUAAAGCACCUUCUUGAACUUGACUGCUGAUGCCAAAUUGGAUGCUGAGGUGAAUCCAUCAGAAGGGAGAGCUAUCUUAGACAGAAACCCUGACAGGCUGAAGGAAUGGGCAGGAAAGAACAGAGUGAAGACAAGUGUAGAGUCCUGCAUCUAGGAGAUAAUCAAAGAACCCAGAAAAGCCUCGCUGAAAGGGAUCAGAGGAUCUUGACGGACAGCAAGCCAGACAUGAUUCAGAGCUGCACUGCAGCAGCAGCAGUGGCAAAAGGCUAGAGAACCUGCCCCAUGAAGAAAAACUGAAGGCGUUAGAUCUAUUCUCCAGGGACAAGAGAAGGCUCAGAGGGGACCUAAUCAAUUAUUUGAGUACUUCUGGGGCAUCUACAAAGAUAAUGGAGGCUCUCUUCACCAAGUGCUACAUCUAGAAGACAAAGGGCAGUGAUACAAGUUGCACUGGAAAUGUUCAGUGUAAAAUAUGAUACAUAUUCCUGUUGGAAUCAAGCCAACAGGAUCUGUUAGCAAGCAUCUUGGCAGUGUUAUUUCAAAUGGUGGUCUCUCUGAAUGCUCAAGGAAGGAUGACCUGGAGGAAGGCAGCUGACUGGAGGACACUGUUCGUGCUCCUUGGUCAAGGAUUUGUGUCAACAUGAUCUUGUUGACAGACGAAUGUUCUUAAGGUUGAAACUGCUACUAUCCAGAAAGAAUAUGAGGAAUGUUUCCUCCAUGGAGAACCUUCAUUAUCUGAAAAGGCUGUUAAUGUACUGUAAGAGGAUAGCCCUGACCUUGCGAAACAAGGGGAGAAAAUUUUCCAUGACUACAUACAGGCAACAGUGAGAGAUACAGAGGAGGAAAGGAUGAAACAGAAACUAUAGCAUUUGUCAUGGUGGAAAACUGUUAAAGCAGACCAUGUUUAGAAUAAAGCAGAAGUGAUAUUCAUUGCUAUUCAUUUAUGAAGGAAGGCAAACCCUUCACUUGAGAAAACUAAUGGUAAAGUUCUCUGUUAAAUCUUAUUAAUUAAGUACCGCUGAAUGCUUGCCAUUUACAAAGGCAUGCCUGUCACUGUGUCUGCUAAGAGGCACAAGUUGCUGCCAAACUGAAACCUUAGCUAUGUUUGGCUUUAUCUUGUGAGCUCUGGCUGACGUGUAUUGUUUUCCAUUAACAAAGUACAGCUUUUCACAUCUUGUAGCUGAUACUGAAAAACAUUAAUAUAAGAGGAACUCUUGUCAUCAAAAUAAAAUAAAUGCAUUAUAAAAGGCAUUCUAUGAAAUAUCUUCUGCUUUGAGAAACAGGCCUUUGAAGGAUAUUUUGGUUUUGUUACGUUUGAAUGGUUUUUUAUAUAAAAAAGCAUUUGCUGAUGUGUUUUCUUAUAUCAAGAAACGUUUUCUGGGAUCAUUCUGACUAAACAUUUUCUGGGAUCAUUCUUUGGCACAUUUUUUACAGGAAAAUAUUAGACAACAAUUAUGUUGUAGACAAUAGUGAGAGAGACUGUAUUCAUCUGCAAUGCAAGUGUUUUGAUCUGAGCUGGAAAAGAGAAACAAUAUCCAUUUGAAAGACUUUUUUUUUUUUGCAUUUCAUGUAUUAUAGUUCUCAAGCAUAUUUCAACAGAUUUAAGACAGUUCUUCAGUGUUUUUUUUUUUCCUUGUGUACUUGAUAGGACUGCGAGCAGUGAGUCAGUAUGCCAGCUUGCAUUAGGUAUCACCAUAGUUUUGUAUUGGUUAUAUGAAAUGUAAUUACUAAAACAGCACUAGAAACCUUUGCUUUUUCUGGUAGCAAUUAAAUUAAACAUAAUUAUUUAUUAUUUUCUGAAUACUGAAAAUUGGUUGUUCCAAAUUUAAGGACAGUUAGCUCUGAGCAACAAUUAGUUCCUUGCUGAGAAGGCAGUAAGAGGGGCCUUAGUGUCUGGAUCAGCAUCUAUAAUAUUGCUUAUGUUGUUCAGCACCAUGCUUGUAGGAGGUAGCUGGUGUGCUAGCUGCAACAGUUCUUGCAUGUGGUGUGAUUUUCCAUACAAUGCUUUGUGCUCUGACUGUUCCUUUUUUUGCAAAUGAGGAGAGUAACUGUUGUGUAUCUCUCUCUCAAGAAUUUAGGCCAAGGAUCAUUUAUGUACACACCAUGUGCUUUAGCUACAAGCAGGCUGUGCCCUUGUGCUGCAGAAAAGUAAGUUUGAGGAGUCCAGGGGCUGCUGGGUGUCCACAGUCCUUGCAAAGCACCCUCAGUGCAGCCACUCUUGGUGCCUGGGAUGGCAGAAAGACCAGAGCAGAGUGAGAGGGUUUCUCAGUUAACUCACCCCCAUUGUCCCCAGGGCUGUGAGUGUGGUAUCUGUCAACAACAGGCAGCUGCCUGCAGCAGUGCAGGGCCACUGUAAGCAGGGUGGGGCUGGGCCUCUGCUCUUCUCUGCUCCCUUUGCCACUGGGGUGGCCAGAGCCACCUAAGCUCCUUGAGGAGAGCCACAAGCACUGUGAGCAAGGGUGAAAAGUUUCAGCUGUGGGAGGCUUUUGGCAUUCCUCUGCCAGUGCUGAUUCAUUGAAGUGCUGUCUACAGUAUUUAUAACAUUUUUUAUUUUUUCCCCACAGUGUAAACGUACUUUUUUUCCUGUGAUAUUUAAAAUGGUGGAUAAAAGAAAACAUGUCUAUAGCAUACAGUCUAUAAAUUACACUAAUAGAGGGAUUAUGUGAAGAAAACAAGGAAAAGAAAAUGGGAAUAUAUCUGAGAUAAAUAGGGGUAGAUGCAGCCUGUCCUGAAAUCUUAUGCAGACAAAUGUUUACAAAAGGAAAAACAGGCUUGGACCAAACCCCAGCAACCCAGAGACUCCUGUUCUUGGGCUCCUGACCUGUUGCAUUGUUGUUGCUAGAUAUUUCUUCCAUGUUUAUAAAAUCAUUCCUUCUAUGUGAUCCCAGAAGGUACCAGUUGCUUUUCUGGUGAGAGGUUCAUACUUGCAGGAGGUAUCCUACUGUAUAGCUCUCAGCCAACCUUUUACAGUUAAAGUUCUCAGGUCAUUUACACUUCAAUGUUAUUCCCUUUCAAUAGCUAGUUCAGAAAAAAGUGUUCCCACAAGUGUUACUGUCUACUCAUACCGCUGCAUAGUGCCUUCAGAAGCCACACAGGCAGCUAUAUUGAACACUAAGAGCCUGCAAAUAAAAAUUACCAUCACA